AUUGAACGCUGGCGGCAUGCCUUACACAUGCAAGUCGAACGGUAACAGGCUGCAAGGUGCUGACGAGUGGCGAACGGGUGAGUAAUGCAUCGGAAUGCGCCCAGACCUAGUGGUUAACUACUCGAAAGAGUAGCUAAUACCGCAUACGAUCUAUGGCUGAAAGCGGGGGACCGCAAGGCCUCGUGCGAUCGGAGCGGCCGAUGUCAGAUUAGGUAGUUGGCGGGGUAAAGGCUCACCAAGCCAACGAUCUGUAGCUGGUCUGAGAGGACGAGCAGCCACACUGGGACUGAGACACGGCCCAGACUCCUACGGGAGGCAGCAGUGGGGAAUUUUGGACAAUGGGCGCAAGCCUGAUCCAGCCAUGCCGCGUGGAGGAAGAAGGCCUUCGGGUUGUAAACUGCUUUUGUACGGAAAGAAACGGCUCUGGUUAAUACCCGGGGCUAAUGACGGUACCGUAAGAAUAAGCACCGGCUAACUACGUG
rnacentral:rRNA from 1 species